GUAAUUGGUGUAUUUUUAAUGUGCUCAUAAUCUGUAUCUAAUGUUGUCCUUAGGCACAACAAGGAGAGGCAACUAUGGUUGCGAAGCUUGCUGACCCUGGAUAUGCAUUUCAACUCUCUUCUUCUUUCCAUUCUGCUGGUUUGGUGAGUCAAAUAUAGCAUUUUUGGACACACUAGCUUUCAACUGUCAUCUGCGACCUGCCAUUCCAUUUAGACAUGCUUUCUUUGUUUGUUUAAAUUCUUAGCAAGCAACUCGAACUAGAUGCAGUAAAGACUCUGAGGCUAAGAUUGGUUGAGGAUGUAUCUCUUGGAGGUCUACUGCUCUGAGGUUCAGUAUUAUUGCACAGUUGUUUUUGUUUUUGCACAUUUGAUCUCUCUGAAACAUGCCUCAUCAUUUAUGAUUUAUCUUGCUGAGUUUUGAUAAGUCAAGAUUCAUCAUUUGAAUUUCUGUUGGUCAAUUUGUUCUUUGAUGUGAUUGCACUGUAUUACAGGUUGUUCCAGUAUGCAUAUGUAUAUGUACAUAUAGUGACAAAUAGAAAAGUAGCCAACUUUAAGUAGUUCACUAUCUUUCUGUUGCAGCUACCAAAAUGAUCAUAGUAAGUUUUAUUCCCUUAAGUAUUUUUCUGGUGCUUGAAGCCAAAAGCUACCCUUAAAUUCCCCCUUGGUGAUGUUACUUUGGAGGAAAAAGAAGAGGAGGAGACGAACAAAAUGUUGUCUAUAAAUGGCAUUGUUAAAGGCCAACUUUUGAACGGGCUCUGCACUGCUCACUAUGUGGAUGAUGAGUUGAAGUAACAAUACUCAUUCAAGGAUGAGUUGUCGUCUUUUAUCCCAUUUAUUUCGCUGCCUUCAAAUGCAUUGUCAUUUGCUUUUAAGCGUCGCUUCGAUCCUUCAGACAAGUUGAGGUUCUAUGGUGGCUACGUUCAGCUGCCCUUUGGAUGUCAUCAAGACCAGGUUACAGGUCCACGGCAUGCUUACCGGUCAAAGAGAGGAUGGUGGCAAACUCUCAAUUGGUGAAAAUAUGAUAGAUGCUGCUGGGACUGCCACAGCCAUUUCAACAAAUCCAUUGUGGGUUGUUAAGACAAGACUGCAAAUCUACCUUCCAAAUACAUACGAGACAGUGCAUUUGAACCGCAAUGUUGGGCUGCUCCAGGGAUACAUAUGAUACCAGCUUCUACCUAGGAUUUUCACUUUUGUAAUAUGCAAGUAUAAUUGUAGGUUAUUUCAGGUGUCUUGGACAUUCUAAUCUUCAGAUUCCUCCAUUUGUUUAGAUAGAUCUUUUUCAGAUCAUUCUAGCUUAAGCAUUGAGUAUAGGUUAUCUAAAUUCAUGCUUAUUUAAAUAGUUUGGCAUAGUGGGUGAUGACAGAUGGUUGUUUCUUUCCUAAAAGUCAUUCGUUGUUUCUUUCCAUUUUGUGAAUGUACAGAUGGUUUCAACAAUGAAGAAGUCGAUCUUUGAUGAACAAACUAACAAGGCCUUAAGGAAAUUGCAAAAGAAUGCUCAAAAGAAGAGAAGGCAUCAUGAUGUGGUUCGAGCUGAAUGGGCAAAUCAUGUUAUACAGUUCUAACUUUGGUUCUGUUUCAGGUAGAUGAGUAGCACUUGGAACUGCUUUUGUGCAUUUAUAUACAACUGAUGGAAAGAGUUGAUGAACUUAAAUUAUGCAUGCAGUUGCUCUGUCUAGCUACUCUUUCUUUACCUUAUAGGUUUUUGACUUGGUGCAAUUAAAUGAUCGAGAUAAGAUGGUUUUUUGGUUCUCUCGAUCAUAAUGUAACUGUUGGCUAGGUUUAGAGUUGGAACUAUGGAUUGUAUU